GCAUGAAGGAAGAGGGAGGAGCAUAAAGGAGGAGGGAGGAGCAUGUCUCUGUACCAUGCUCCCUCGCGGUUCCCACAAUUCCCAGCACAGGAUCCGCGAGGGAGCAUGGUACAGAGACAUGCUCCUCCCUCCUCCUUUAUGCUCCUCCCUCCUCCUUUAUGCU